UGAGGAAUAUUGGGCAAUGCCCGCAAGGGUGACCCAGCAACGCCGCGUGGAGGAUGAAUGUCGUAAGAUUGUAAACUCCUGUUAGAGGGGAAGAAUAGUACCGGUUGGACCGGUAUAUGACUGUACCCUCAGAGAAAGCCCCGGCUAACUACGUGCCAGCAGCCGCGGUAAUACGUAGGGGGCAGGCGUUGUCCGGAUUUACUGGGUGUAAAGGGCGCGCAGGCGGGAUAAAAAGUCAGUGGUGAAAUCCUACAGCUUAACUGUAGAACUGCCUUUGAUACUUUUAUUCUUGAGUUCGGGAGAGAGAGACGGAAUUCCAGGUGUAGUGGUGAAAUACGUAGAUAUCUGGAAGAACACCAGUUGCGAAGGCGGUCUCUUGGUCCGACACUGACGCUGAGGCGCGAAAGCGUGGGGAGCAAACA
rnacentral:rRNA from 1 species